rnacentral:ncRNA from 1 species
GACUUGAUUAGAUUGAGCCUUGGUACGGAAACCUGCUAAGUGGUAACUUCCAAAUUCAGAGAAACCCUGGAAUUAAAAAUGGGCAAUCCUGAGCCAAAUCUUUAUGUUAAGAAAACAAAGGAUAGGUGCAGAGACUCAAUGGAAGCUGUUCUAACAAAUGGAAUUGACGUUGACUACGUUGCGUUGGUAGCUGGAAUCCCUCUAUCGAAAUUACAGAAAGGAUGCCCCUAUAUGCGUAUAUAUACAUACUGACAUAUCAAACGAUUAAUUACAACUCGAAUCUGGAAUCCAUACUAUAUAAAUAUAACUAUAAUAUUAGAAUAAUAUUCUAAUAUAUAGAAUAUCUAGUUAUAGAAUAUAUAGUUAUCAUUCUAUAUAUUUUCUUUUUCUAUUUAAUAAAGAUAUAUUUCUUUAGUAAUUUAUAGAUUAAUUAAGAGUUAUUAUAACUAUAUUUCAGUCGAAGUUGAAGGAAGAAUCGAAUAUUCAGUAUUCAGUGAUCAAAUCAUUCAUUCCGAAGUCGGGUAAAUCUUUUGAAAAAAUGAUUAAUCAGACGAGAAUAAAGAGAGAGUCCUGUUCUACGUGUCAAUGCCGACAGGAAUGAAAUUUAUAGUAUUAGGAAAAUCCGUCGACUUUAGAAAUCGUGA